GGUGAUAGCUCAGUGGUAGAGUGCAUGCUUAGUAAGCACAAAGUCCUGGGUUCAGUCCCCAGUACCUCCA
rnacentral:tRNA from 1 species